GCCGAUAUAGCUCAGUUGGUAGAGCAACGCAUUCGUAACGCGUAGGUCACCAGUUCAAGUCUGGUUAUCGGCUCAA
rnacentral:tRNA from 2 species